rnacentral:lncRNA from 1 species
GUUUAUUAUUUUUCGAUGUUUAUCUGGAUAAUAUUGAUAUUAUCCACUCAUUCUUGGAUAAUGUCACAUUCAAAGUUUGAAAAAAUAAUUCCACAUGCACAAGUUUUAUUUGUUGGCUUUGUGGCUCUGUAUGUGUAGACAAUUGAGGUUAGAUGAGAGGAGAUAUGUAUAGCAGAUUUCGAGAGUUUAGGUGGGGAGACAAUACAAAUGAACUGAUUAAAAAGCCGCUAAGAAUUCCGGUCUAAACAUUAACACAGACCUGAUGUUGAGAGCCAGCAAGACGUUGCACUUGAGGACUUUCUUCAGCUCACACAUGGCUAUUGUAGCUAGUCAGACAUUAUCCCAUGUAAAACAUGCCUCAUUUGUGAACAAAACUGCUCCCAGAAAAUCGGCGUCUUUGUUAAUCUUUCGACAUAAUGGAGAUGAAACACAAUUCAGCCAACAUGGAUUAGUUAAAAGAAAGAGACUUCUAAGGCACGAAGCUCAAAAUCUAUGCCUUGGAGAGGGUACAUUGUGAGGACAAAAAGUGCUUAUCUUUUUUUUCUUUUUAUCACUGUGAAGUUCA